UUAAGCGACUAAGCGUACACGGUGGAUGCCCUGGCAGUCAGAGGCGAUGAAGGGCGUGCUAAUCUGCGAUAAGCGCCGGUAAGGUGAUAUGAACCGUUAUAACCGGCGAUACCCGAAUGGGGAAACCCAGUGUGACUCGUCACACUAUCAUUAACUGAAUCCAUAGGUUAAUGAGGCGAACCGGGGGAACUGAAACAUCUAAGUACCCCGAGGAAAAGAAAUCAACCGAGAUUCCCCCAGUAGCGGCGAGCGAACGGGGAGGAGCCCAGAGCCUGAAUCAGCAUGUGUGUUAGUGGAAGCGUCUGGAAAGGCGCGCGAUACAGGGUGACAGCCCCGUACACAAAAGCGCAUGUGCUGUGAGCUCGAUGAGUAGGGCGGGACACGUGGUAUCCUGUCUGAAUAUGGGGGGACCAUCCUCCAAGGCUAAAUACUCCUGACUGACCGAUAGUGAACCAGUACCGUGAGGGAAAGGCGAAAAGAACCCCGGCGAGGGGAGUGAAAAAGAACCUGAAACCGU
rnacentral:rRNA from 3 species